ACCACCUGAACUGGAUCUCAAUGCGAAGUUCGGCAUAGAUUUUCUAUAGGGAAGCUGAAUCAUAACAUUUUUUUUUUUUUUA